GCAUGAACCCGCUUGUACAUUAAAUGAACUAGUAAUCUAUGUUGAAUUUUUUGAAGCCCACUGGUCUUUAGACCAGGUGAAUAUAGAUUUAAUACAAUUAUAAAAGUAAUUUAUUAAGAUAGUGUUGGGCAUUCUUAACGUCACUACCAAAAGUAGACUUAAUUUUCUUAUUCUGAUAACGACACCAAAAAUGCCAAACCUAUCCGUCAUGCCACAUAAGCCAAGUUGUCAUCCCCAGCAUGACAUGAAAGACGCGGUAUUGAAAUAAGCAAUUGCUCUUCUAAAUAAAAAAC
rnacentral:lncRNA from 1 species